UGACGGAGCAACCCCGCGUGAGUGAUGAAGGUUUUCGGAUCGUAAAGCUCUGUUUUUAGGGAAGAACAAGUACCGUUCGAAUAGGGCGGUACCUUGACGGUACCUAACCAGAAAGCCACGGCUAACUACGUGCCAGCAGCCGCGGUAAUACGUAGGUGGCAAGCGUUGUCCGGAAUUAUUGGGCGUAAAGGGCUCGCAGGCGGUUUCUUAAGUCUGAUGUGAAAGCCCCCGGCUCAACCGGGGAGGGUCAUUGGAAACUGGGGAACUUGAGUGCAGAAGAGGAGAGUGGAAUUCCACGUGUAGCGGUGAAAUGCGUAGAGAUGUGGAGGAACACCAGUGGCGAAGGCGACUCUCUGGUCUGUAACUGACGCUGAGGAGCGAAAGCGUGGGGAGCGAACAGGAUUAGAUACCCUGGUAGUCCACGCCGUAAACGAUGAGUGCUAAGUGUUAGGGGGUUUCCGCCCCUUAGUGCUGCAGCUAACGCAUUAAGCACUCCGCCUGGGGAGUACAGUCGCAAGACUGAAACUCAAAGGAAUUGACGGGGGCCCGCACAAGCGGUGGAGCAUGUGUUUUAAUUCGAAGCAACGCGAAGAACCUUACCAGGUCUUGACAUCCUCUGACAAUCCUAGAGAUAGGACGUCCCCUUCGGGGGCAGAGUGACAGGUGGUGCAUGGUUGUCGUCAGCUCGUGUCGUGAGAUGUUGGGUUAAGUCCCGCAACGAGCGCACACCCUUGAUCUUAGUUGCCAGCAUUCAGUUGGGCACUCUAAGGUGACUGCCGGUGACAAACACGGAGGAAGGGGGGGAUGACGUCAAAUCAUCAUGCCCCUUAUGACCUGGGCUACACACGUGCUACAAUUGGACAGAACAAAGGGCAGCGAAACCGCGAGGUUAAGCCAAUCCCACAAAUCUGUUCUCAGUUCGGAUCGCAGUCUGCAACUCGACUGCGUGAAGCUGGAAUCGCUAGUAAUCGCGGAUCAGCAUGCCGCGGUGAAUACGUUCCCGGGCCUUGUACACACCGCCACGUCACACCA
rnacentral:rRNA from 1 species